rnacentral:rRNA from 1 species
AGCGGCAGACGGGUGAGUAACACGUAGGCAAUCUACCUUUCCGUCCGGGAUAACUAGCCGAAAGGUUAGCUAAUACCAGAUGCGACCACGGCAUCGAAAGCAGCGCGGAUUGAGGAGCCUGCGGCCCAUUAGCUAGUUGGUGAGGUAACGGCCCACCAAGGCUACGAUGGGUAGCUGGUCUGAGAGGACGACCAGCCACACUGGGACUGAGACACGGCCCAGACUCCUACGGGAGGCAGCAGUGAGGAAUUUUCCGCAAUGGGCGAAAGCCUGACGGAGCGACGCCGCGUGCACGAGGAAGGUCUUCGGAUCGUAAAGUGCUGUCGAGGGGGACGAUUGACGGUACCCCUGGAGGAAGCCCCGGCUAACUACGUGCCAGCAGCCGCGGUAAGACGUAGGGGGCGAGCGUUGUUCGGAAUUACUGGGCGUAAAGCGUGCGUAGGCGGAUUCGUAAGUCGAGGUUGAAAUAUCCGGGCUC